UAGAGAGCACAACAAGAGUUUGAGAUGCCGAUUAAGAGGCAGAUCAUCAACGAACGUGGCCCCGACUGUGUGAGAACCACGCGUACCUGAUGAUAAUGGCCUCUUCCCCAUAUAAUUAACCCCUGACCUGUGAUUUGACGACGAUGGAAGCACUUGGCAGUGGACUUCCUGUUGCUUGUCCUCCAUGACUUACACCCGUCGCUAGGAGCACCUGUGCCGCUAUCACCAUUGAAGGGAACAAUCAGACUCACAUCCUCUUCACUGUGAAACCUCCUAACCGUGUAUUCAUCGGUGAAACCUCACCUGAUCAGGUGAGAUUUUACUUCACCACCCUCUUUGACAAGCUUAUUCUUGCAGUGAGAACAUGAACAUAUGAUUCCCCGCCGAUUUACACUCAGGUCCCGUUUGUUUCCUUUCAUUUCAAAGAAUUGGAAUCUUACUAAUAGAAUAAGCUAUUUUUUUUAGAAUGUGACAUUCCACCACUUUCCAAAGUUAUCAUAUAAGCCUAUCUCAAAUUCAUGGGGUGAGAGAUGGAAAUUGAUUUUAUAGAUUUACAUACUAUUUUUUUUGAUGUACAACUUAUAGCACACUCAUCUACUUGCUUCGCUAUAACACAAAUGUAGUAUAUAACUAUCUCUCUCAUAUAAUUUAGGAUAAUAUACAAAUAUAUUACAUAUAUAAAUAUAUAAACUUAAUUAGUUUUGUCUAAAUUAUAAUUAUCAAAAUGGAAUUCAAUUCCAACGAAACAAACGGGGCCUGACACAAUAUGCUUUCGAGCAGCUUCAAAACUCCUCCCAGAAGUGGUGAAUAUUUGGAAUCGUGGAGCUUAAACC
rnacentral:lncRNA from 1 species